rnacentral:lncRNA from 1 species
UCCACUUAAUAAAAUAGAAGAUUUUGGUGUACACUGCAAACAAUAUUAUGCCUUAGAAGUCUCAUAUUUCAAAUCCUCUUUGGAUCGCAAAUUGCUUGAGCUGUUGUGGAAUAAAUACUGGGUGAAUACGUUGAGUUCUUCUAGCUUGCUUACUAGGCAAGUAUAUUAAUAGCAGCCAGAAGUGACACCUGAUGGCAAGGGGAGAAAACACUGUUAAGACCAGAACAGUCUGAACCUUUGUAUGAGGCAAGCAGAUCUACCUACUCAGCCCAAUGUCUGUCCCUGUAUUCCAGCACUGCAUACAUGAGGACAUUAAUAAUCAAGAAAAGAAUGCAGACUAUACCACUGGUCAGGUCUUUGAUUUGUCUGAAAAGUUAGAGCAGUCAGAAGCCCAGCUGGGACGAGGGAGUUUCAUGUUGGGUUUAGAAACGCAUGACCGAAAAUCAGAAGACAAACUUGCCAAAGCUACAAGAGACAGCUGUAAAACUACCAUAGAAGCUAUCCAUGGAUUGAUGUCUCAGGUUAUUAAGGAUAAACUGUUUAAUCAAAUUAACAUCUCUUAAACAGUCUCUGAGAAGUACUUUACCUGAAAGACAGUAUGAGAAAAAUAUUCAAGUAACACUUUAAAACCAGUUACCCAAAAUCUGAUUAGAAGUAUAAGGUGCUCUGAAGUGUCCUAAAUAUUAAUAUCCUGUAAUAAAGCUCUUUAAAAUGAAA